ensembl:lncRNA
CAUUUCUUCUAUACAAUAAAAAUAUACCAGAAGGUGUGAAUUCUCAAUAAAUGGUAGCUAGCUCAUGCUGUCUUAACAAAGUUAUUCUCCCACAAAGGACUCAAAUUGAUAUUUUUGGGUACAUGAGAAUAUGGAUGCAUAUGUGUAUAUAAAUAUAUAUCUUUGUCUUUAAAAUGUUUUAUUAAGUUUAGUUUUAGUUUACUACAAAUUCUAAAAUUUAUAACUUCUUCUGAUCAGUGCUGAUGGUACAGGAAAAGUUUGAGGUGGGAGAAGUCAGUGUACACAUGUAUGGUAGUGACCAGUGGCUUUUAAAUAAUGACAUCUCAGAUCUUCAUUUCUUACAUAGAAAGUGGCUGAUGAAUGGCAGGAGUGGAAGAAGGUGUCCCCAAACACAUUUGUCCUGCAGAGAAAUUAAUGAAGUGUUACGGCUGCAAUCUAGUAAUUGCUACCCAAGGGGAUGUUCAUGUCAGCCUUGAGGUUCUGAUUGUAGAACUCAAGGAUGAUCAAGGAGAAGGAUUUGGAUGGUAGCAUGGAUAGAGAUGGACCCCAGCCCAGUGACUAAACCAAAGAAUAACUGAGAAGCCAAAUUAAUAGUCAGAGGAUCCUUCAGGGAGUUUAGAAUCAGGGCAAGAGGCGGAAAUCUUGAAGAAUCUUUCAUCCAGGUCAUGAAUUUGAAUUAAGAAAUAGAAGACAUAGCCAAGAGUACAUGGAGACCCAGGUGGAAAAAAAGCCCUUGACCAGAGACACAAGAGAGAAAACCAGAAAUGAAUGCUUCAGAUUCCAAAUUAUGUUCUUUCCAGAGUGGAACCCCUGUGAAUCCGCUCCAAGCACCUUCUUAGAGGCCUCUAUCACAUCGGACACAAACCACUAUAAUGGACUAUGACUUUGUCUCCCUGCUUGAAGCUCUUCCCUCCUUCAACAGAGGGCCAACAGCUUAGGCUUGCUAAAA